GCCUGCUAGCCGCAGUAUUUUGACUGUGCAAAGGUAGCAUAAUCAUUAGUCUCUUAAUUAGAGGCUGGAAUGAAUGGUGAGACGAGAAAGUAACUGUCUUCAAAUUUCAUUUUAAAGUGCAAAAGCUUUAAUAUUCUUAAAAGACGAUCAGACCCUAUGGAGCUUAUUUGUUGGGGCGACAAUUAUUGAUCCUAAAAGAUAGAUUAAAAGACUAAGUUACCCUAGGGAUAACAGCGUUAUUCUUUUAGAGAGUUCAAAUCGAUAAAAGAGUUUGCGACCUCGAUGUUGGAUCAAAAUCCCUAUAAGGAGUAGUCACUUUAUAAGGAAGUCUGUUCGACUUUUAAAUUUUC
rnacentral:rRNA from 1 species